AUGGAAUCUGUGCUGCUUAGCGGGUCUCCUAGCAAGGUUUACUCGUUGGAGCCCAGCAAUAUACAUGACGUUAUCGAGCAGUGGUCAUCUGUCCCAGUCGAAUCUGAGCGCAUGAGCCCACAGGACAAAUAUUUCUGCUAUUUAAAAGGCUUCAACUGCUCAAAUAGUGGAGAUGAUCUGCAACGGUUUCGUUUGACCUUAUCACCAGAGUGUUUACAGCAAAAUUAUGCUAUUCCAGAGACCACUGAAUCACUGCAUGCUGCAUCUCCUAGUGCCAUGGUGUCAAUAGCACAACAUUUUGCAGUUGUGCAUCUACACUGCAUACCCCGCCUUCUAACAUUGAUUCAGAAGCUAUGUCAAUCCCCAGCUUUGGAAGUUAUAGAAGAUAUCAAUUUUAACAUGAGAUUGUCUUUUACCCAAAGAAUCUUGAAGUUAGCCCAUGGUCUCGCAAUGGAAUUCCCUUGUGACGUUUCUGAUACCAUGAUGUUAUGCUCAGUAGCAAGGUGUGCUAAUAGUCUGCCGGUCUUGUUUGGGCUGAAGUUCAAGUUCUCUAACCAUGAUAGAGUAUUUUCUGGAGAUGGUGUUGGAAUUAUGUUGCUGCAAAUACUUGAAGAAUUCCUACAGCUGAUUCAAAUUGUCUUCUGCAAUAGUGAUAUUUGUUGUACUGUACAAGUAUGCAUACUUGCUUCCCUUCUGGGCAUAUUUAGUACAAAGACAUGGAGAUAUGAAAAAUCUGGUUCUUGCUUAGUACCCCCAUUAGCUUACUCUCCUCAUACCGUGCAAUAUGUGCUAAAGCUUCUUGAAAGCACCAAAAGAUGGACAAGUCGUGUUGACAGGGACAAAUCUUGUAAAGAUGUUCUAGAUUAUUCAUGCAAUUCCGAGAUUGAUGGUUUGUCUUGUCGAGCUCGUUCUGUGGUGGUGCCAUUGCUGAAGAAAUACACAUGUGAGGAGUAUCUGGAGUUUAUCUUCCCUUCAGAAGAGCAAUGGUUGGAUGAUUUGGUGCAUCUCAUCUUUUUCCUCCAUGAAGAAGGAGUAAAAUCAAUGACUGCACUUGAGAAGCCGCAGAUAAGUUGCACUAAACAAGCCGGUGUGUCAGAGGUGGAGUCUGUGGCCAGUCACGAGGAAGACGCACUAUUUGGGAAUCUCUUUUCUGAAGCCCGCUCUACUGGAGUAGCUGAUAGUGUUGAACAGCCAACUUCUCUUGGGAGUGUUUCAUCAAGCAGCCAGCAUGGGCCUAUUCAGCUAGCUGCUGAUUUGAUAUGCUUUAUGAAAACAUGCAUCUUCUCUCCUGAAUGGUGCAAUGCUACAUACAUGGAUGCUUGCAGGAAGUUUCAUACAGAUCAUUUGGAACAAUUUAUGUCAAUACUAAAGUGCCAAGCUUGUCUUCCUGACGAAAGCAGUGCUGAAAACACAUCAUCUCACCAUAUGGAGACUAACCUACUGCACAUCAACAUGGCCUGUUUUGAAUUUCUACAAAUGUUCCUUGCUUCUGAUGAGUGUCCUGCUUCUUUAAGAGAAGACCUUGUGGAGAAAGUGUUUAAUGUUGAGAAUGGGAAGUACACUUAUAACAACUAUACACUUGCUCUAGUUGCCCGUGCAAUUAUCUCUGGGACAAAGUCGGCAUAUAUUCUGGGAAGAAAAGUUUUUGUUCAAUAUGUUGGUUAUCUUUUGGAGAAGGCAGAUGACAAGUCAUCCAGCUCAUUGAAUUUUAAUGAGUUCUGUGAAACUCUGCCUUGUGCCUUUCAUCUGGAAAUUCUGUUGGUGGCGUUUCAUUCAACCACUGGGUCAGAAAAGUCUGAUUUGGUUAGCAUUGUGCUUUCUUCCUUAGAAAAAAUGAAACAUUAUCCACCUGGGAAAAAUGCACCUGGACUCACAAGAUGGGCUUUAGUCCUUUCAAGACUUCUGCUCGUGCUGCGACAUAUUCUGUUAUAUCCGCAGACACGCCCAACAUGGUUGUUUAUGAGAUUAAGAUCCAGGAUGCGGGAUAUCCAAGUGAAGGAAGAGCAGCCACGUUCCAUGAAUGAUUGCUUGCCAUCCUUUGCAACUGCUAUUGUGGAGGGUUUACUCAUGGACACUGUCAAGGAGUAUGCUACAGCUAGUAGUCUGUUCUCGCAAUUGAUUGAUGUGACUCCUGCUCAUGCUGAGUUCUAUUUUGAUAAGUCCGCUGUUGGAGCUUUAGGCUUGAACUUGGCUGAUUUAAGUGCGACCAUUUCAGAAAUACUUGGUAGUUGGAGGGAUAUGAAACCCGAACUGGCUGAUGAUCUCAUCGUUGAAAGAUAUGUAUUUCUGAUUUGCUGGAGCACUCUUGCUGAUAUAGGUUACCAUGGCAAUGAUACCCUCCUUCAGAAUGUUGAUCUGUCCAAACCUGAUUUUGUAAAUCUCAAUUUCUUCCUCACAUUUGCUCUCAGUGUAAGUGAUGAUGCUUCGUCUCUUGUGGGUGCCAACCUGCCGUCUGUAGUAUUUGGAUUCCUGCAGUUGUUGAAUUCUGAGAUUCUCAAUGCUUCAAGCAUGCUGGAAACUUGGGAUUUUUCCAGGAAAGGAGCAUGGCUUUCUUUUAUUCUCUCUCUCAUCAAUAUUGGUGUUUGGAGGAACCAAGCAAGUGAAAAAACUGAUGUGGACUCAUACGGAAAGCAGGUGGUUUUUUAUGGAGAGCAAUCUGUUCUUGGAAAGAGUUUGGUGACAUACAUAAGUGAAAAUAGUGGACAUUGUUUAAAUAUUUUAUCAUCUCUUUUGGAGACCUAUCUUUGUACUUUCAGGGAAGCAUAUCUCUCACUUGUUGAUAGAGAAAGGCCUUCUAAGGAUCAUUGUUAUCCUUCUUUGCUGCUUAAGCAUUCUGCCUUUGACAAAUCCAAGCAUCUCCUCCUUUUUGAGAAAAUUGGUUCUGACAUGGCAGUGCUGGAACGUAUAUGUGAUCUUCCAUCAAGGAUAGAUGGAGUUGCUACAAAGCUAGGUGAAGUACAGAAAAAUUGUUUUCCCUUGAAGUGCCUGUUACAUGGAUUUCCAUCAGAUUACAUUUCUAGCAACAGUGCUCUCCUUUCUUGCAUUCUCGUAAUACAUGACAUCAUACACACCUUUGAUGGAUACAUAAAGAUCAUGCAACCAGGAGACAGAGAUCAAGUUGAUGUGAGUGUUAUUUCCAAACUAUUUGGAAUGGUGAUGACUGUUAGAUCUGAUCGAAUAUUCAAAUCCAUUUAUGGACAGUGUGAUUCUAUAUUUAUGAGUCUAAUCAACUACAGGGAUGAUCUAGCUGGAUACAUUGACCUGUUUACCCUGAAGCAGUUAGAAGGGUUCCUUGCUGACAUCAACUCAAAAGAAAGCAUCGACCAUGGGGCGGAAGAAAUUCUGGUUUCUACCAUUAUUGAUCUAGUGGAGGACAUUCGUUCAAAAACAGAUGUAUUUAAAUUCUUCCUUGGUGAUGUAGAAGGUGCGCCUGAAGGAGCAAGCAGUCUCUUUGCUCCCGAGCAUGCUGAAAUAUCAGUCUUUAUUGAUAUAUUGGACAGAUGCCAGUCUGAGCAGGUUAAUUUAAAAAUCCUUCACUUGUUCACGGAUAUUUUAGGUGCUGGCCUUUGUCCCGCCCUUAAGGUGGAGUUGCAAAAUAAAUUUGUUGGAAUGGAGGCGUCCUCAUUUUCAUCUUGGUUAGAAUUUAGAAUUUUGGGUCAUCCUUUGAAACCUGAAAGUGAGAGUGGUACUACAGUGGGUUCAACAACCCUAAGAGAAUCAUCAGUGGAUUUUCUUAUGCGUCUUAUCUGCCCUUCGUCUGAGACAUUGGCCAAAGAACUUCAACAUCAUCUCUUUGGUGCAAUGCUACUGUUACUUGAUAGAGCAUUUUUGUCAUGUGAUCUCCAAACUGCCAAAGCAUAUUUCCAUUUUCUUGUCCAGCUGUCGAGUGAGGAAUCACAUUUCAAACAGCUAUUUGAUAAGACACUGAUGCUGAUGGAGACGAUGGUUGGUAAUGAGGGUUUGCUUCAUACUUUGAAGUUUCUGUUUACUUUUGUGGAGUCAGUGUUUGGCGAGGCUGGAUUAAAUAGGACUGCCCUUAAGAGGCUUUCAUCUAAAAAUUCUGGCAACGAUUGUGGUUCAGGAUCUCUCAUACCAAAGCAGUUGAAGAAUCCAGAGAACCUAGUUCUUCGCACCAAUCAAGAAAGUAAUUCUGCUGUUGAUUGUGAUGCUAGUUCUGGCGAGGAAGAUGAAGAUGAUGGAACAUCUGAUGGGGAAUUGGGGAGCAUGGAUAGAGAUGAUGAAGAGGAUGGAAACAGUGAAAGGGCACUAGCAUCCAAAGUGUGCACAUUUACAUCCAGUGGUAGUAAUUUUAUGGAACAGCAUUGGUACUUCUGCUAUACAUGUGAUUUGACUGUUUCCAAAGGUUGCUGUUCUGUAUGUGCCAAGGUGUGCCAUCGGGGUCACCGUGUUGUUUAUUCCCGCUCAAGCCGUUUCUUCUGUGAUUGUGGCGCUGGUGGUGUGAGAGGAAGCAACUGCCAGUGCUUGAAACCUCGGAAAUUUACUGGAACAUCCAGUGCACCAGCACCUGCUGAUUGCAGCUUCCAGCCGUUGUUGCCUUAUCACGAUGAUCUGGAACAGGUUGCAGAUAGUGGCUCUGAUUUUGAAGAUGACAUCUCAACUGAUGCUGAUACUUCCCUCAAGUUAUCUGUGCCAAAAGGCUUUAGUGAUGGGCUCCCUGUAUUUCUGAAAAAUCUUGAUAUUGAAGUUCGAAUGCUUGAACUAUGCAAGAAGUUGCUUCCAACAAUACUCAGCCAGAGAGAGUUGAAUCUUUUGAAAGAUAGGAAAGUCUUGUUAGGAGGUGAUAUGCUGGUGUCACAAGCUUCUGAUGUAUUCCAACUAAAGAAAGCUUUCAAAAGCGGAUCACUGGAUCUGAAGAUAAAGGCUGAUUAUCCGAAUUCAAGGGAACUCAAGUCACAUCUUGCUAAUGGUUCUCUUACUAAAUCAUUGCUGACUGCCAGCAGUCGAGGCAAGCUUGCUGUUGGAGAAGGGGAUAAAGUAGCUAUAUUUGAUGUGGGACAAAUCAUUGGACAGCCUACUGCAGCCCCUAUUACAGCGGACAAAACAAAUGUGAAGCCACUCUCCAGAAACAUUGUCCGCUUUGAAAUUGUUCAUCUGAUCUUCAAUCCAUUACAGGAUCAUUACCUUGCUGUUGCUGGAUAUGGGGAUUGCCAAGUACUGACACUAAAUAGUCGUGGUGAAGUAACCGAUCGCCUUGCCAUAGAACUUGCUCUGCAAGGAGCUUACAUUCGUCGUGUGGAAUGGGUUUCAGGUUCUCAGGUACAGCUCAUGGUGGUAACAAACAUGUUUGUGAAAAUAUAUGAUCUCUCGCAGGAUAACAUCAGCCCAUUGCAUUAUUUUACUGUGGCUGAUGAUGUUAUUGUUGAUGCCACCCUUGUUCCCUCUUCAAUGGGCAAAUUGGUGCUACUUGUUCUUUCUGAAGGGGGUCUUCUGUAUAGGCUCAAUAUUGUAUUGGCAGGCGAUGUUGGUGCCAAAACAUUGACUGACACAGUCUUGGUUAAAGAUGCAGUAUCUAUGCACAAGGGAUUAUCAUUGUACUUCUCAUCAACCUACAGGCUUAUAUUCGUGUCUCAUCAAGAUGGCACUACUUUCAUGGGGCGCUUAGAUGCUGAUUCUUCAUCAGUUACUGAGCUAUCAUAUGUAUGCGAAGAAGAUCAAGAUGGUAAAUCCAAACCAGCUGGGCUUUACCGUUGGAGAGAGCUUAUAGCUGGCAGUGGAACUCUUACCUGUCUAUCAAAAUUUAAAUCAAAUUCUCCUCUUGCUGUGUCUUUGGGUCCUCAUGAGCUGUGUGCACAAAACAUGAGAUAUGGUACUGGUUCAAAUUCUCCAGUGGUGGGUGUUGCGGCAUAUAAGCCUUUAUCCAAAGAUAAAACACAUUGUCUUCUUUUAUAUGAUGAUGGAAGCCUUCAUAUUUACUCGCAUACACCUAGUGGAGGUGAUAGUUCAGUGAGCCUUACUGCAGAACAAACAAAGAAGUUAGGCAGCAGUAUCCUCACCAGUAGAGCUUAUGCUGGCACCAAACCAGAAUUUCCUCUUGACUUUUUUGAGAAGACAACUUGCAUCACGUCUGAUGUCAAAUUUAGUAGUGAUACAACCAAAAGUGGUGAUUCUGAAAGCAUCAAGCAGAGACUGACCUCAGAUGAUGGGUAUUUAGAGAGCCUGACAUCUGCUGGCUUCAAGGUAUCUAUUUCAAAUCCAAAUCCUGAUCUUGUAAUGGUUGGUUGUCGAAUCCAUGUGGGUAACACAUCGGCUAGCAAUAUCCCGUCUGAAAUCACGAUGUUUCACAGAGUUGUUAAGCUUGAUGAAGGCAUGCGAUCAUGGUAUGAUAUUCCAUUUACUACUGCAGAAUCACUUCUGGCUGAUGAAGAAUUCACAAUUACAGUUGGCCGAACAUUCGAUGGUUCAUCUAUGCCUAGGGUAGAUUCUAUUGAAGUUUAUGGUCGAGCUAAAGAUGAGUUUGGGUGGAAAGAGAAAAUGGAUGCUGUACUUGAUAUGGAAGCCCAUGUCAUGGGUAGUACUGCCGGUGGGAAAUCUGGAAAGAGACCCCAAACGAUGCCAACUGCUCCUAUGCAGGAGCAGAUUUUGGCAGAUGCGCUCAGGAUCCUCUCACGGAUCUAUCUGCUUUGCCAAACAAGCUGCUGCACUGACACGGUUGAUGCAGACAUGGAACUUGAUAGUCUAAAAUGCAGAGCUUUGUUGGAAACCAUAUUUCAAAGCGACAGGGAGCCUCUGCUGCAUUCUGCUGCAUGCCGUGUCCUUCAGGCUGUAUUCCCAAAGAAGGAAGUGUACUAUCAUGUUAAGGACACUAUGCGCCUUUUGGGAGUGAUAAAGUCACUUCCAGCAAUUACUUCAAGAAUAGGAGUUGGAGGAACUGCAUCUAGCUGGGUGGUAAAAGAAUUUAUUGCCCAGAUCCAUACAGUCUCCAAAGUUGCUUUGCACAGGAAAUUAAACUUCGCAUCUUUUCUUGAGAAUCAUGGUACAGAAUUAGUUGACGGUCUAAUGCAAGUUUUCUGGGACAUUUUGGAUUUAGACAGGCCAGAUACUCAAAUGAUAAAUAAUCUUGUUAUACCUUGUGUGGAAUUUAUUUAUAGCUAUGCUGAAUGCUUGUCUCUGCAUACAAAUGAGAAGUCUGGUGUUUCAGUGGCACCUGCAGUUGCUCUAUUGAAGAAGCUACUAUUUGCUCCAUAUGAAGCUGUUCAGACUUCUAGCAGUUUGGCUAUUUCAUCACGAUUUCUACAAGUUCCUUUCCCUAAGCAGACAAUGAUAGCUAAUGAUGAUGGCUCUGAUAAUCAUGCAAAAGCAAGUGCUUCUGCUAUGAAUCCCGCUAGUGGAAAUGCCCAGGUUAUGAUUGAAGAAGAUCCUGCCACAUCGUCAGUGCAGUACUGUUGUGAUGGUUGUUCCACAGUUCCAAUACUUAGGCAAAGGUGGCACUGCAACAUAUGUCCAGACUUUGACUUAUGCGAAACCUGCUAUGAGAUACUUGAUGCAGAUCGUCUACCUGCACCGCAUUCAAAAGAUCAUCCUAUGUCAGCAGUAACAAUUGAACUUGAUACAUUUGGAGGUGAGGGCAGUGAUAUUCAUUUCUCUAUUGAUGAGCUAGCAGAUACCAGUGUUCCUCCUCCUGCUGCUGAUAGAAGUGUCCAGACCUCACAGUCACCAAUUCAUGUACUGGAUGCAAGUGGAUCUGCAGAUUUCCCUGGGUCCAUGACAGACCAAAGGACGGUUUCAAUUUCUGCAUCCAAACGUGCCGUUAACUCCCUACUACUCAGUUGUCUAAUUGAAGAGCUCAGAGGCUGGAUGGGGACCACAGCUGGCACUCAAGCCAUACCUAUAAUGCAGUUGUUCUAUAGACUUUCAUCUGCAGUUGGUGGACCUUUCAUGGAUAGCUCAAAGCCAGAAUAUUUUGAUUUGGAAAAAUUUGUCAAGUGGCUCAUGGAUGAAAUCAAUAUAAGUAAACCAUUUCCUGCCAAAGCACGAUGUUCUUUUGGAGAAGUAUCUAUCCUUAUUUUCAUGUUUUUCACACUCAUGUUCCGUAACUGGCAUCAGCCUGGGAGUGAUGGCUCUCAUUCGAAGUCUGGUGGAAGCUCUGAUUUGACAGAGAAAGGUCAUGUUCAGGUUCCAGUGUCAACGACAGGUCUCUCGUCCUCCAGUGAUGACAAGGAUAAAAAUGAAUUUGCUUCUCAGUUAAUUCGUGCUUGCUCUGCCCUCAGGCAACAAUCAUUUCUGAAUUAUUUAAUGGACAUACUGCAACAGCUUGUUCAUAUUUUCAAGUCAUCGUCCACAAAUGGAGAAGGUGGUUCUGGUUCAGGAUGUGGAUCCCUAUUGACAGUGCGGAGAGAGCUACCAGCUGGAAACUUCUCUCCCUUUUUUUCUGAUUCAUAUGCCAAAUCUCAUCCGACUGAUCUAUUCAUGGACUACAACAAAUUGUUGUUGGAGAAUACUUUCCGGCUAGUAUAUAGCAUGGUUCGGCCGGAGAAGGAGAAAUCGGCUGAAAAGGAUAGAAGCUACAAGGUUCCCAACGCUAAGGAUCUCAAGUUGGACGGGUACCAGGAUGUUCUCUGCAGUUAUAUUAGCAAUCCACAUACUACAUUUGUCCGUAGAUAUGCAAGGAGGCUAUUCCUUCAUUUGUGUGGCAGCAAGACUCACUAUUACAGUGUUAGGGAUUCGUGGCAAUAUUCCCAUGAAGUCAAGAAACUUCAUAAAAUCAUUAACAAGUCUGGAGGUUUUCGAAAUCCUGUGCCAUAUGAGAGAAGUGUUAAGCUUAUAAAAUGUUUGUCUACUCUUUGUGAUGUGGCUGCAGCAAGGCCCAGAAAUUGGCAGAAGUUCUGCUUGAAGCACAUGGAUCUUCUUCCUUUUCUGAUGGACAACAUUUACUAUUUCAGUGAAGAGUGUAUUAUUCAGACUCUCAAGCUUCUGAAUUUGGCCUUCCAUUCAGGGAAAGAUGUCAAUCAAACUGUACAAAAAACAGAAAGUGGGGAUCUUGGAGGUUCUACAAGAACUGGUUCACAAUCUUCAGAUUCAAAAAAGAAGCGGAAAGGUGAUGAUGCUUCGGAAGGCACUUCGGAGAAAUCCUGCAUGGACAUGGAUCAGGCUGUGGAAGGGUUCAAUGACAAGGAAGGGGAUGUGUUGAAGCGUUUUGUUGACACAUUCUUGCUAGAAUGGAACUCAGGAAGUGUCCGCCAUGAGGCCAAAUGUGUUUUAUUUGGACUAUGGUACCAUGCAAAGAACCUGUUUAAGGAAACAAUGUUGAAAGUUCUACUGCAGAAGGUGCAAUAUCUUCCCAUGUAUGGCCAGAACAUCAUUGAGUACACUGACCUCAUGACCUGUUUACUAGGAAAAGCAAAUGAUUCUAGUGCAAAGCAGAAUGAAGCUGAACUUCUGAAUAAGUGUUUAACAUCUGAUGUAAUAAGCUGCAUUUUUGACACCCUCCAUUCGCAGAAUGAGCUGUUAGCAAACCAUCCAAAUUCCCAUAUAUACAAUACGCUGAGUUGCUUAGUGGAGUUUGAUGGCUAUUAUUUGGAGAGUGAGCCUUGUGUGACCUGUAGCUGUCCAGAUGUUCCGUAUUCAAGAAUGAAGCUUGAAAGCCUCAAGUCUGAGACCAAAUUUACUGACAACAGGAUAAUAGUAAAAUGUACUGGAAGCUUUACUAUACAGUCAGUGACCAUGAAUGUUUAUGAUGCACGUAAGUCGAAGUCAGUGAAAGUGCUGAACCUGUAUUACAACAACAGGCCUGUAACAGAUUUGUCUGAGCUGAAGAAUAAUUGGUCUUUGUGGAAACGGGCCAAAAGCUGCCAUCUUACUUUUAAUCAGACUGAAUUGAAGGUUGAAUUCCCCAUCCCAAUAACAGCAUGCAAUUUCAUGAUUGAGCUCGAUUCAUUUUAUGAAAAUCUCCAAGCUUCUUCACUCGAGUCAUUGCAGUGCCCACGGUGCAGCAGGUCUGUCACUGAUAAGCAUGGAAUCUGUAGCAACUGCCAUGAAAAUGCAUAUCAGUGCAGGCAAUGUAGAAAUAUUAACUAUGAAAACCUUGACUCUUUUCUCUGCAACGAGUGUGGAUAUAGUAAAUAUGGCCGUUUUGAAUUCCAUUUCAUGGCAAAACCAAGCUUCUCGUUUGAUAACAUGGAAAACGAUGAUGAUAUGAGAAAAGGAUUGGCAGCAAUUGAGUCAGAGUCAGAAAACGCUCAUAGGCGAUACCAGCAACUGAUGGGAUUUAAGAAGCCUCUCAUCAAACUUGUAUCCAGCAUAGGUGAACAGGAGAUAGAUUCACAACAGAAAGAUGCUGUCCAGCAGAUGAUGGUGUCCUUGCCUGGUCCCACUUGCAAGGUAAAUCGCAAGAUUGCACUUCUUGGUGUUCUGUAUGGUGAAAAAUGCAAAGCAGCUUUCGACUCAGUCAGCAAAAGUGUUCAGACGCUACAAGGACUGCGCCGUGUUCUAAUGGCAUAUCUGCACCAGAAAAGUUCUAAUGAUGCCAAUGCAUUGCCAGCCUUUUCAAUACCAAGGUCUCCAAGUAGUUGCUAUGGAUGUAGUACUACGUUUGUUACGCAAUGCCUAGAGCUAUUACAAGUGCUAUCCAAACACACGAACUGCAGGAAGCAACUUGUCAGCACUGGCAUUUUAUCUGAGUUAUUUGAAAACAACAUCCAUCAAGGCCCUAGAACUUCACGCACUCUUGCCAGGGCUGUGCUAUCUUCAUUCUCUGAAGGUGAUGCAGAUGCAGUCCAGGAACUGGACAAGUUGAUUCAGAAGAAGGUAAUGUAUUGUCUUGAGCACCAUCGCUCCAUGGAUAUUGCACAAUCAACACGAGAAGAGUUACAGCUACUUUCAGAGACAUGUGCCCUUGUAGAUGAGUUUUGGGAAGCGAGGUUACGUGUUGCCUUUCAGCUUUUGUUCUCUUCUAUUAAAGUUGGAGCAAAGCACCCUGCAAUUUCAGAGCAUAUUAUUCUUCCUUGUCUGAGAAUAAUUUCUCAGGCUUGCACACCUCCAAAAUCUGAUGCUGGGGACAAGGAGUCAGGUGCGGGAAAAUCUGGCUUGAUGUUGCAAUCGAAGAAUGAUGAUACCACAGGUCACUUGGCAACUAAUGUAUCCUCUUCCAAGGUUCAGUCUGAUAUAUCUGGAAAAAGUCCUGAUGGUAGUCGAAGAGGUCAGGAUAUGCCACUGCUGAGCUAUUCAGAAUGGGAGAGUGGUGCGUCAUAUCUGGAUUUUGUGAGGAGGCAAUACAAAGUAUCACAGGCAGUGAAAGGAGUACAGAAAGCACGUCAUGAUUCGCAGAAAUCAGAUUACCUUGUUCUGAAAUAUGGACUCAGAUGGAAGCGUCGUGCAUGUCGGAAGUCAUCUAAAAGUGAUUUCUCAAAAUUUGCCUUGGGCUCCUGGGUUUCAGACUUGAUUUUAAGUUCCUGUUCUCAGUCGAUAAGAUCUGAGAUAUGCACUCUUAUAAGCUUGCUAUGCCCGUCAAACUCUUCCAGACAGUUUCAGUUACUGAACUUGCUCAUGUCUUUACUUCCUCGGACACUGUCAGCUGGUGAGAGUGCAGCGGAGUACUUUGAGUUACUGGGGACAAUGAUUGAUUCAGAGGCUUCACGUCUGUUCUUAACUGUUCGUGGUUGCUUAGCCACACUGUGUUCCCUGAUAACAAAAGAAGUGUACAAUGUUGAAUCGCAGGAGAGAAGCCUUAGCAUUGACAUAUCACAAGGAUUCAUUCUUCAUAAACUUGUGGAGCUCCUGAAUAAAUUUCUCGAAAUUCCCAAUAUUAGAGCAAGAUUUAUGAGUGACAAGUUACUGUCCGAGGUGCUUGAGGCCUUCUUGGUUAUUCGUGGGCUAGUUGUGCAGAAGACGAAGUUAAUCAAUGACUGCAAUCGGCUUUUGAAAGACCUUCUUGAUAGCUUACUUAUAGAGAGUACUGCAAACAAACGCCAAUUUAUUCGUGCUUGCAUCUCUGGAUUGCAGAAGCAUGUGAAGGAGAAAAAGAGACGGACAUCUCUGUUUAUUUUGGAGCAACUCUGUGAUUUGAUUUGCCCAGUGAAACCAGAGCCUGUUUACCUUUUGAUUUUAAACAAGUCACAUACUCAAGAAGAGUUCAUCAGGGGUUCCAUGACAAAGAGUCCAUACUCCAGUGUGGAGAUUGGCCCACUAAUGAGAGAUGUGAAAAACAAAAUAUGUCGGCAACUUGAUUUGAUUGGACUUAUAGAAGAUGACUAUGGUAUGGAAUUACUGGUUGCUGGGAAUAUAAUUUCACUUGAUCUUAGCAUCUCCCAGGUCUAUGAGCAAGUGUGGAGAAAGCACCACGGCCAAACUCAGCAUUCUUUGUUGAGUGCCAGUACACUCUCUGCUACGUCAUCUGUCAGAGAUUGCCCGCCAAUGACGGUAACCUACAGACUACAGGGUUUAGAUGGUGAAGCAACUGAGCCCAUGAUUAAAGAGCUAGAAGAAGAAAGGGAGGAAUCACAAGAUCCUGAAAUUGAAUUUGCCAUAUCAGGUGCUGUUAGGGAAUGUGGAGGUCUGGAAAUUAUAUUAAGCAUGAUUCAGAGCCUACGUGAUGACGAGUUAAGAUCUAACCAGGAGGAGUUGGCUUCAGUUCUUAACCUUCUCAAGUAUUGUUGCAAAAUCCGUGAAAAUAGAUGUGCCUUACUACGUCUGGGUGCCCUUGGUUUGCUACUUGAGACAGCCAGGCGCGCGUUCUCAGUAGAUGCAAUGGAACCAGCCGAGGGUAUUCUAUUAAUUGUAGAAAGCCUUACAUUGGAAGCUAAUGAGAGCGACAUAAGUAUCUCGCAAAGUGUAUUUACAACUAGUGUUGAGGAGACUGGUGCGUGUGAGCAGGCCAAAAAAAUUGUUCUCAUGUUUUUGGAGAGGUUAUGUCAUCCUGUAGGCACCAAAAAAUCAAACAAGCAACAAAGGAAUGAGGAGAUGGUUGCCAGAAUCUUGCCUUACCUGACCUAUGGAGAGCCAGCAGCUAUGGAAGUUCUGGUCGAACAUUUUGAGCCCUACCUUAGGGACUGGAGUGAGUUUGACCGGUUGCAGAAGCAGCACGAAGAGAAUAAAAAAGAUGACAAUUUAAGCCAAAAGGCAUCAAUGCAGAGAUCUGCUGUUGAAAACUUUGUUCGAGUGUCGGAAUCACUCAAGACGAGUUCAUGUGGUGAGAGGCUGAAGGAGAUUAUUCUAGAGAAGGGCAUUACAAAAGCUGCUUUAGGGCAUCUGAAGGAAAGAUUUGCUUCUGCAGGGCUGGCUAGCUCUAGAACUAGUGCAGAAUGGGCAGCUGGAUUAAAGCUGCCAUCUAUUCCAUUCAUCCUAUCAAUGCUGAAAGGGCUUGCAAAGGGUCAUUUGCCUACACAGAAGUGUGUCGAUGAAGAAGGCAUUUUACCACUUCUCCAUGCUUUAGAAGGGGUGCCUGGUGAAAACGAAAUUGGUGCACGAGCAGAAAAUCUUUUGGACACCCUAGCGAACAAAGAAAAUAAUGGUGAUGGCUUCCUGUGGGGGAAGAUUCAAGAACUGCGGCAUGCUACGAGGGAUGAGAUGCGACGCCGUGCUCUCCAGAAAAGAGAAAUACUACUUAAGGGGCUAGGAAUGCGGCAAGAAUUUGGUUCGGAUGGAGGUAGACGUAUCGUUGUCUCUCAGCCUAUAAUCGAAGGUUUUGAUGAUGUGGAAGAAGAGGAAGAAGGGCUGGCCUGUAUGGUCUGUAGAGAAGGGUAUACUUUAAGACCAACAGACAUGUUAGGAGUCUAUGCUUUCAGUAAACGGGUGAACCUGGGUGCAACAAGUUCUGGCAGUGGCCGUGGGGAUUGUGUAUUCACUACUGUUAGCCACUUCAACAUCAUACACUACCAAUGUCAUCAGGAAGCCAAACGAGCUGAUGCUGCACUGAAGACUCCUAAAAAGGAAUGGGAUGGGGCUACCCUGAGAAACAACGAGACAUUGUGUAAUUGUAUCUUUCCGCUGAGGGGGCCAUCUGUUCCACAUGGGCAGUACAACCGAUGUGUCGAUCAGUAUUGGGACCAACUGAAUUCUCAAGGACGGGCAGAUGGAAGUCGUCUCCGGUUGUUGACAUACGACAUUGUUCUGAUGCUGGCCAGGUUUGCCACAGGUGCUUCUUUCAGCACCGACUGCAAGGGUGGGGGGAAGGAGAGCAAUUCACGGUUUCUUCCUUUCAUGAUCCAGAUGGCUUCUCAUCUUGUAGAUGGAAGUGCCAACCAGCAACGCCAUUCGAUGGCCAAGGCCAUCUCUACUUACCUGUCCAGUUCUCUCUCAACUUCAGAAUCUCCCAGUCGAGUUUCAGCUUCUCCCCCUGGAGCUCGGGGUAGUCCAGGGUCUCCGGAGGAAACUGUGCAGUUUAUGAUGGUCAACUCUCUGCUGUCCGAGUCUUACGAGAGCUGGACACAGCACCGCCCCGCUUUCCUGCAGAGGGGCAUCUACCAUGCUUACAUGCAACACAAGCAUGGGCGAUCCGCCCUCAAGCUUUCCGCCGAGUCGUCUUCCUCCGCUGCCCGGUCAGAUGAAGGUUCGUCCGCUGAUCCAAACGACGACGGCAAGAGGCUCUUUGCCAUUGUCCAGUCGAUGCUGGUGUACACUGGCUUGGUCGAGCAGCUGCAGCAAUUCUUCAAGAAGGGCAAAUCAUCUGGGACUAGCAAGUCAAGCCAGAAAGACGAAGCAAGCAGCAAGUGGGAGUCGACGAUGAAAGAAAGGCUGAGCAACAUGAAGGAGAUGGUGGGACUAUCAAAGGACCUGCUCUCAUGGCUCGACGACAUGACCUCGUCUGAAGAUUUGCAGGAGGCCUUCGACGUCAUGGGGGCGCUGCCAGACGUGUUCUCCAGUGGGUACACGAAAUGUGAUGAUUUUGUCCGGGCUGCCAUACAGGCUGGGAGGAGCUGA
rnacentral:rRNA from 1 species